CACACACACACACACACACAGAGAGAAAACCCUCAGUUCUGCUGUAUGUUCACGGUGACCAAGCAAUGCGGAAGUCCGCCAGCAGCUAACAGCCCUCCCAAUGGCAGCUCUGAAUGGUCAGCAUUUUCAGAUCGGCUAAAAAAAGAAAGCUUCGAGCGACGUCGUCCGUCUCUACUAUCACGCGGCCAGACCGGGAUAAAGAAAACAGAAAAACACCAGCGCACCUUUACCCCUUUUUAUCUUCGAUUAUUCCCUUUUUUCUUUUUUUAAACGGCGGAAAAAUAGAAACGUCCAGCACUCCUCUCACUCGUCCAGCAGAGAAAAAGAAAACAAACGAAGGAAAAUGCCAACGCCUUUUGCACCUUAAAGGGAAAUCUCUUGCGGCGCCGUUGCCAUCGUCACGACACACAAAAAUCAUCGCUGGACUCAAACACGUAGGCAAAAACAAAAAUGACCAGCCGGCCGUGAAUAUAGGCUGUUGCAAAAUGAAACGAUUAAAUGACGCAAAAAAAAAAAUAAAACUGGGAUAGAGGCAAGAGGAAUGCAAGGUCGUGCAAGAUGACGGCUCCAAGAUUACAACAAAACAUUCGGGAGGAGGAAUGAACUGUAGAGGAAAAGAACGCAGCCACUCGGUCACGAUCUCCAAUGUCAAACAAGAGUCGAGCUAUUUUUUAUGUAUCACCUUCAUCGGCCGGUUACAAAGAGACACACACAUAUUUUUAUUUAUUUAUUUUAUUUUAUUUUAUUUUAUUUUUUUGAAUAUACGUUUGGAAAAGGAUUUCACGCACGACGACGAUGUAUUAUCAAAAACCGUUUAUCAUCUUCCCAACCGACAAGACUCUCAAAAUGAUGACGAUGAUGCUACAUUUAAAUGAGAAUUUCUUCAGUGCGGCUCUCGUCCGUCCAUCUCAGCGACGUUUUCAAAACAUCCGACCAGAAGGGAUGGCGGCACAUGUCUACCAGCUCUUACAACUCAUAUGCAUAUAUGCUAAACAACAAAAAUCAUACAUGUAUUUUUAUUUAAAAAAAUAAAAAUGAUCUUUCUCCGGGAAAGAAAGAAAAUCUUUCAUUUUGAUUCACCCUCCCCACUCUUUCGUUCCGAGUCCUACGUGUGAUUGCAUUCUAUUGAAAAGAAAAGAUUGACCUUCGACAAAAAUAUGUCCGUUCGUUUGCUGCGCACAGGACGAUGGGGCAGAGAAGGAAAAAGAGACAGGGGGAAAUGAAUCAAACCUUAAAAGUAUAUUAUGAAUCUAUCGAUAGGUUAUCAUACUCCUGUUUUAUGUAUGGGAUUCUACAUCCCCUCAAUUGAGUCUCGUAUGUUAAAUUGCGGCGUUAUUUCUUCUUCUCUUUUUUUCUUUUUCUUUCUGAGAGAGAGAGAGAGGGGGAGGGAGGCUGAGGGCCGCAUUGCGUGAAGACGGCCCACCGAAAGCAGAGGGGAAAAAAAAAAGAAUACAUGUAGAUAAUAUACACACGUGGAAAGGGAGGAGAAGGAAUUGAAUAUUUAGCAAGGCAAAGAUUGGUUGGCCGUCAAGCGGUGCCACAUAGAAGCUGAUGAGAAUAUGAAAGAAAUCUCAACUUGAUGGACAGCUAAAUAAAUAUCCAUGACUUGAAAGAAAAUGGAAGGUAAAAGAAAGAGAGAAUGGGAGGAGAAGCUUUGGUGAUGCGUCCGGAUUCCACCAACGACAUCAGCGCCCUGUCACACACACACACAGCGGACCGAAGAACGAAAAAAAACACGUGAAAGGUUGUUAUUAUAGCCGUCGUGUGUCUAGCAUUUUGUAUGGCCGCGUAUAAAUAAUACACACGCGUUGAACAGAGGUACAGGUAAACGUGCGACAGGUCAUCGGCAUUCCAACGGCAAUAUUAUACCAGUGGAUCGUGCAACUAAAAAACACAAAAUGCCCGUUCUACCGGCCCCCACUUCUCUCUUCAAUUUCAUUUGUUUUUUUCAUUACCCACCAACAGAUGAAGAAAGAAAAAGAAAAUCAA